AAUGAUUGUGUAAGAAAAAGUGGUGAAAAUAACGGGAUCACAUGGUCCCUAUUUAUAGAAAACCUGAUAGACACAUGGUGCCCUCGUGAGUGUAAGAUCUUGCACCAUCCAAUGUCAUAAGAUACAUGACACUAUGUAUUUGAUGUUAGCACUAACAAUGUGAUCCGCGAGAUGUUGACAUAAUUCACAAGGCUUUACUCAAUCUUAAGACUUGGGGAGACUAUAUAUUGUAUGUACCAACCAAUACAUACCUAUUACAAUAAAC
rnacentral:lncRNA from 1 species